UGGAAACUUCAUGACUCCUUCGUUUUCCUCAAUAAGUACCUCAACGAUAUGCAGGGAUCCUUUGUACAUGGAAUGAUGCCUCACUUCUUCUUUUCGUUCUGCAACUUCAAUUUUCUGACCCGAAGAUGUUGUAAACAUAUCACAAACAACAUUCUUGGACACUCUUAUUCAAAUAAAAAUGAGAGCGUGUACGAGGUUAUUCUUCACAACGGAUUGACUGGCUCUUCUCUCAAAACAGCUAGGCACUACAUACAACUUCAUGAAUCAGGAGGUCAAUUUCAAAGAUUUGAUUACGGCAAUGAGCAGUUAAAUUUGGAGCACUACGGACAACCAGGCCGCCGCACUACGAUGUGUCAAAAACAAGCAUUCCUGUCCACAUAUUUUAUGGUGCAACUGAUAUAGUUUGCCCAGAGCAGGAUAUAAUGUUGUUGAAGAAGGCUAUAACAGGUCCUACGGAUUUAACGCUAGUAGAAGAGCCAAAUUUCAACCAUGGCGACUUCUUCAUGAGCAACGAAGCAAAAACAGCUUUAAAUCCCAAAGUUCUGGAAAAAGUACGGGUCAUAAACGAGCUGCAUAGUAAAAGUAAAGUAUCCGUUCCUCCGGUAGAAACUAAUGCCGCUGAUUCGCAACUGCCCGAUCAGAAGGAGAACGUAUAAGCAAACAUGGAAAAACGGCAAAAAAGAGAGAAAAGAAUGAUUGCCACAAAAAGUGGAAUCACUAACAUCUAGAACUCUGAACCAGGCUCCAAAUAUUCUCUACAAGGAUAAAUUGAGCUCAUUGUUAGAUCUGUUUUUUAUAAACAAAAAUCAUAUUGCUCUCUAAGUUUAUAUGAAGAACAAAAGAUAUCGUAGAUUUCGAUCCAGUAUUGGAAUUCUCCAUUUCCUCAUCAAAAUUCCCUUAUAAUACGAUCAGGAUUAAUGUUUGAGGGUGACUCACACCUGAAAACCACAAACAUUUUAUUUUUUGUAGUUUAAUAAAGCUAACAACAGUAAAUCAAAAUUAUCGUAGUGCAUAAACUGCAUCUUCAAACUCUCACUAAUAGAAUGUAAGUGCCAAUAUUGCCACCGAAUUAAAAAUAAAUUAUUUCUAGAAACCUACUUUGUCAGGGAAUUUAGAUCCCAACCAAAUCUUGAAUAUUUGUAUCCAGCAGGAAAGUAGCAUUAAUUCUUCCGAAUAAACUAUGUCUGUUUUCUUUUUGAUUGAUUUGUUUGUUAUGUAACAAACUUGCAGAAAUAAUAAUGGUCGAUUAUCACUCAUCAUAGGACCGAUCUCAAAAGUACGAAUAAAAUGUUCGUUAGUGAUCCUACAUCACAAUGCAAUGUAAAGACGCAGGUGUGAAAAAAUUAAUUGUGAACUUGUUUCAUUACGAUUCAAAAUUUUCGAAUAAAAGCUUUAUUUGCAGACAUCACAUUCAUCUGUCAUUUGAAAAAUCGCGUGAAACGUGAAUUUGAAAACGAGUGAAACCAGAUUACGUUACUCGAGUGUUCCUGCUUCCUGCAAGCAAAAACCGUCCGAUUCUCGAAGAAUGAACAAUACUUUCUUUUAACGUGUAUGUGCAUGUGAUAUGUAAAAGAUAUUUUUUUUCUAGUCAUGUGUUUUAAUAAACCAAUUGUGUCCCGUUUUCAAAUCCUAUAGUCUUUUAUUUUUCUGGAAGGGAACUGAUACCCGCUGAGUCCUAUUUUCAAAUAUAAAUUAAUAUUUUUGGAUUCUGGAUACUACUUGGAUUCAAAUUCAAAUCAUUCAAUGGACGACUUUUCAUAAUAAAUCCAUAAAUCAAAUUCUAACUCUUUAAAAUAGACCGUUUUAAAAAGCCGAAUGCAGCGACCUUCUGAAGACAGUAAUCUUUUGCAUACUGCUCCUCUGCUCUCUAUCGAUUUAAAGUAAUUGCCACUGCAUUGUAUUAUCUGACCUGAUUGAGUAGA
rnacentral:lncRNA from 1 species